rnacentral:rRNA from 1 species
CGCGUAGGCGGCCUGUGCAAGUCAGUUGUGAAAUCUCCGGGCUUAACUCGGAACGGUCAACUGAUACUGCUCGGCUAGAGUGCAGAAGGGGCAACUGGAAUUCUUGGUGUAGCGGUGAAAUGCGUAGAUAUCAAGAGGAACACCUGCGGCGAAGGCGGGUUGCUGGGCUGACACUGACGCUGAAGUGCGAAAGCUAGGGGAGCGAACG